rnacentral:snRNA from 1 species
GUACAAAGGUGAUCUGGCUAUGAGAGCCAUCACCCCAUUGGUUAGGUGAUUUAACUAAUCUGGCUGGCUAGGCAGAUGUUCCCGUCCUCCCUCACCAGUGCAUGUGUGUCCUUCCUGAAGAUGCGCAUGUGCUUACAGAGAGGACAGCCUUUCCCAAUAGAAGAGCAUCUAUCUUGGGUCAAGGAUCUAUGAGAGGCUCAAUCCCCUGCUAGAACCUCCAAGCAAACUUUGGAAGUCCAUUUGUAGGAGAAUGCAGGGGAGUCAAGUUUUUAGGGUUCCAGAUCCGUUUAAAUUAUGUGCUACAUGCAUCGGUCUGCCUUUUUUU